rnacentral:rRNA from 1 species
CCUACGGGCGGCAGCAGUCGAGAAUCAUUCACAAUGGGGGAAACCCUGAUGGUGCGACGCCGCGUGGGUGAAGGAGCGUUUCGGCGCGUAAAGCCCUAUCGGCAGGGAAGAAGAUGACGGUACCUGACCAAGAAGCCCCGGCUAACUACGUGCCAGCAGCCGCGGUAAUACGUAGGGGGCAAGCGUUAUCCGGAUUUACUGGGGGGAAAGGGGGCGCAGACGGCAAUGCAAGCCAGGAGUGAAAGCCCGGGGCCCAACCCCGGGACUGCGCUUGGAACUGCAUGGCUGGAGUACAGGAGGGGCAGGCGGAAUGCCUAGUGUAUCGGUGAAAUGCGUAGAUAUUAGGAGGAACCCCGGUGGCGAAGGCGGCCUCCUGGGCUGUGACUGACGUUGAGGCCUGCAGCCGUUGGG